rnacentral:rRNA from 1 species
GGACUACUGGGGUAUCUAAUCCCGUUUGCUCCCCUAGCUUUCGCGCUUCAGCGUCAGUUUCGGUCCAGAGGGCCGCCUUCGCCACCGGUGUUCCUCCCAAUAUCUACGCAUUUCACCGCUACACUGGGAAUUCCACCCUCCUCUACCGUACUCAAGCCGUGCAGUAUCAGAUGCAAUUCCUGGGUUAAGCCCAGAGCUUUCACAACUGACUUACAUGGCCGCCUACGCGCCCUUUACGCCCAAUAAUUCCGGACAACGUUAGUCACCUCUGUAUUACCGCGGCUGCUGGCAC